rnacentral:rRNA from 1 species
UGCAAGUCGAGCGGACAGAUGGGAGCUUGCUCCCUGAUGUUAGCGGCGGACGGGUGAGUAACACGUGGGUAACCUGCCUGUAAGACUGGGAUAACUCCGGGAAACCGGGGCUAAUACCGGAUGGUUGUUUGAACCGCAUGGUUCAAACAUAAAAGGUGGCUUCGGCUACCACUUACAGAUGGACCCGCGGCGCAUUAGCUAGUUGGUGAGGUAACGGCUCACCAAGGCAACGAUGCGUAGCCGACCUGAGAGGGUGAUCGGCCACACUGGGACUGAGACACGGCCCAGACUCCUACGGGAGGCAGCAGUAGGGAAUCUUCCGCAAUGGACGAAAGUCUGACGGAGCAACGCCGCGUGAGUGAUGAAGGUUUUCGGAUCGUAAAGCUCUGUUGUUAGGGAAGAACAAGUACCGUUCGAAUAGGGCGGUACCUUGACGGUACCUAACCAGAAAGCCACGGCUAACUACGUGCCAGCAGCCGCGGUAAUACGUAGGUGGCAAGCGUUGUCCGGAAUUAUUGGGCGUAAAGGGCUCGCAGGCGGUUUCUUAAGUCUGAUGUGAAAGCCCCCGGCUCAACCGGGGAGGGUCAUUGGAAACUGGGGAACUUGAGUGCAGAAAGAGGAGAGUGGAAUUCCACGUGUUAGCG